rnacentral:rRNA from 1 species
UGGUGAUUUAGUCAAGGGGAAACACCUGUUCCCGUUCCGAAUACAGCAGUUAAGCCCUUAAACCCCGACAAUAGUUUUUCGUAUAUGGAAAGUGAAGAUAGGUUUUUGCCAAGGA